UUUGGCUUGAUUUUGUGGCUUGGUGGUGAUUUUGGUGAAAAACGAAAAUCUUGGUUUUCCAAAACUGGCCGGACUCAAUCCUCACAAAUGUUUCCAAAGUGAUGUGGGAGAAGUUUGGAAUCAAAAGGAAUUGAUCUUGACAUGGUUGGUGCAUAGCCAAGUUCCAUGAUUUUGGUGUUUUGGCUUGAUUUUGUGGCUUGGUGGUGAUUUUGGUGAAAAACGAAAAUCAU
rnacentral:lncRNA from 1 species